AAUCUUCCGCAAUGGGCGCAAGCCUGACGCAGCGACGCCGCGUGAGCGAUGAAGGUCUUCGGAUCGUAAAGCUCUGUCCUCAGGGAAGAAGACGAUGACGGUACCUGAGGAGGAAGCCCCGGCUAACUACGUGCCAGCAGCCGCGGUAAUACGUAGGGGGCAAGCGUUGUCCGGAAUUAUUGGGUGUAAAGGGUGCGUAGGCGGCUUAUUAAGUCUGAUGUGAAAUACCACGGCUUACCCGUGGGGUUGCAUUGGAAACUGGUGAGCUUGAGUAUCGGAGAGGAUAGUGGAAUUCCUAGUGUAGCGGUGAAAUGCGUAGAUAUUAGGAGGAACACCAGUGGCGAAGGCGACUGUCUGGACGAUAACUGACGCUGAGGCACGAAAGCUAGGGUAGCGAAC
rnacentral:rRNA from 1 species